UACGAAGGGGGCUAGCGUUAAUCGGAAUUACUGGGCGUAAAGCGUGCGCAGGCGGUUUGUUAAGUCUGUUGUGAAAUCCCCGAGCUCAACUUGGGAAUUGCAAUGGAUACUGGCAGGCUGGAGUAUGGUAGAGGAAGGUGGAAUUCCCGGUGUAGCAGUGAAAUGCGUAGAGAUCGGGAGGAACACCAGUGGCGAAGGCGGCCUUCUGGACCAAUACUGACGCUCAUGCACGAAAGCGUGGGGAGCAAACAGG
rnacentral:rRNA from 1 species